UAAUCAAGACUUUUUUUCCUUUAAGGGAUCAUUGUGAAAACUAACAUGUCUUUUAAGGGAUCAAUAGAUUACUAUAAAUAAACAAAACUAAAAGCACCAUAAGAAAAUUCCUGUAAGAGGCCUAAUAUCACGAAUAUAGUGUAUACAGUGGCAAUUUUAUGUCUUGGAGAAGUUCCAACACAUUCGUAAAAGAAAAGAUGUGUUGUAUUUUUGUCCAACUUUUUUGUGUUUAUAUAACACACCUGUUCGUAAAAAAGAACGGCAAUCUCAUGCAACAUGAGAAGUGGGUGCAACAGUACCACGUGAGCUACUUUAAUUUAUUUUUAAAUCUCAUUCUCACUAGCAUUCACUCACUUCAGUACUCUACUAAUGAAGGAGGAAAUCGUCUUUUACAUAGAAGGUAAUUCUUUGAACUCACUUUUCCCUCUGAGACUGACAUUAA
rnacentral:lncRNA from 1 species